rnacentral:lncRNA from 1 species
UUUUACACUAAUGAGAUUCUCUUAUCUUUAUUUCCCUUAACUCACAGUCGUCUUACGGUGCCCAUGAGAGUUUUCACCGAUAAGACUCUCUCAUUUUUAUCUCUCUCAACUUACCAUCAUCUUACGGUGCCCGUGAGAGUUUUCACCAAUAAGACUCUCAUUUUUAUUUUUCUCCUGAUUUCUUAUGCUAAGGAAGAUAAGUAGUUCCCAAAUGCAUCAUCAUAUCCCUUGCAUACUUAGCCUUAACAUCCUCGAAGAUUGAUCUGAAGGUCUUUCUUUGGUUGUAACUUGGAUUUUUGAUAGGGUUAGAAAGAAAG